GAGCAAACCUGCAGCAGGCCCAGGAAGGCCAUUUUUUCCCCCGGCCACUCAAAAAGAGGCGGUCCAGUUCUAGGAUAGAAUGGGAAGCACAAGCUGGUGACCAUUGCACCCUCCAGUGAUCUCUGAUGAUGUGCAGGGAUAAUGGGUUACAACGACAGACAUUAAUAAGGCAAAAGGAGCCAGUUCUGCUCUCAACCCCAGCUUCUGUACCAGCGUGCAGAGGUUUAGCGAUACCUGAGACCUUGGAGAAGUCAAGUGUCACUUGAGGAACUUGCUCAAAUGAUGGCUUCAGCUCUUCAUGUGCAGAGAGUUCCAGCGAUGUCUCAGGAAGCUCCUGUUUCUAGCAAGCCCUUCACAAGUGUCUAGGGUGUUAUGGCCGUUGCUUGGAGAGGUAAGCUGACUCAGUGUAGCUCAGUAGACCUUUUACGUCCAAGUGACUUUUUAAAUACUGUUUGCUAAGACUGGAGGAAUUAAAAAUUAGAUGUAAAUCUGUCCCUGUAACAACAAUGGCUUCUUAGACCUUUGUAUGUAGGGUCACUACAACACAAGUCUGUUGAUUCCCGCUGGAGGGGGAAUUCCAUAGAGCAGACUUUUAGGGAAUCUUGGAUCAAAUUUGAAAGCAGAUCACAAGUAAGGAC
rnacentral:lncRNA from 1 species